CUUGCAUCAGGCACUGGCGACUAUCCUCUGACAACUAUCCUGAAGAAAACAUUCUGAAUACAUUAGAACUAAGUGAUCGGGUUGGUCCCAAUACCGGCUAUAUAAGCAGUGAUUUCAAAUCCAGAGCUUUGAGGUUCUCCUUGGCCAUAUGGACACUUGCAAAGAAGUUAGUCAAGCGCAUGAUUGAGAGGAGCUCUAACUCUGUUGGAAAGUAUAUUUCUAUCCACCUUCGCUUUGAGGAGGACAUGGUAGCCUUUUCAUGUUGUAUAUAUUUAUGAUGGAGGAGUGGUUGAAAAGUCAGAAAUGGAUGUGGUACGUGAGAAGGGAUGGAGGAAGAAGUUCAAACAAAAAUAUCGUUUGAUAUUUUUAGAAACAGCAAAAUGUUAGAGGCUGACAUUUUAUCAUAGUGCACUCUUCUUCACAAUGAUCUUUCUUGAUGAAUAAAGGCUGGGGUUAAGAUAGAUACAGGGAGUAAAUGUAUCUUUCUCUUAUUGUGUUUUUCUAACUACUCUGGUAAUCGAAAGAGGUGAAUAUAUUAUUGGUAUAACUUGUAGAAGCUUUAUGUCUAGGAGAACAGCUUGUUAGGCUGCCAAAACCUGUUCUUUGCAUUGGUGGAAUCCUACAAGUGGAGCUCUAACGCAAAGUUCAAAGACAAGAAAUGGAUGGUCUAUAUUAUAUAUGGUUAACUCCCUUUUUUGGUUUAUUGGUCUCAAAAAAUGACUUCUAUUUCCUGGUAUUAUUGCAGUCAUAGUCUAACAUAUGGUAGUCGUAUAUAUAAAUGAGGAUGUGAGUUCAAAAGGGCAUUAAUAUAUGAUUUUUGUGUUUCUAAGAUAAUCUUACAGAUGAAUGCAUC